CACUGGACUGAGACACGGUCCAGACUCCUACGGGAGGCAGCAGUGGGGAAUAUUGCACAAUGGGCGCAAGCCUGAUGCAGCCAUGCCGCGUGUGUGAAGAAGGCCUUCGGGUUGUAAAGCACUUUCAGUCGUGAGGAAGGCGGUGUCGUUAAUAGCGGCCUCGUUUGACGUUAGCUACAGAAGAAGCACCGGCUAACUCCGUGCCAGCAGCCGCGGUAAUACGGAGGGUGCGAGCGUUAAUCGGAAUUACUGGGCGUAAAGCGCAUGCAGGUGGUUUGUUAAGUCAGAUGUGAAAGCCCGGGGCUCAACCUCGGAAUAGCAUUUGAAACUGGCAGACUAGAGUACUGUAGAGGGGGGUAGAAUUUCAGGUGUAGCGGUGAAAUGCGUAGAGAUCUGAAGGAAUACCGGUGGCGAAGGCGGCCCCCUGGACAGAUACUGACACUCAGAUGCGAAAGCGUGGGGAGCAAACAGGAUUAGAUACCCUGGUAGUCCACGCCGUAAACGAUGUCUACUUGGAGGUUGUGGCCUUGAGCCGUGGCUUUCGGAGCUAACGCGUUAAGUAGACCGCCUGGGGAGUACGGUCGCAAGAUUAAAACUCAAAUGAAUUGACGGGGGCCCGCACAAGCGGUGGAGCAUGUGGUUUAAUUCGAUGCAACGCGAAGAACCUUACCUACUCUUGACAUCCAGAGAACUUUCCAGAGAUGGAUUGGUGCCUUCGGGAACUCUGAGACAGGUGCUGCAUGGCUGUCGUCAGCUCGUG
rnacentral:rRNA from 1 species